AAAAAGUGAGUGGUUUUAGUGAGUGUGAGUGUGUGAGUUUGAGUGUUUUAUUCACUCAAAUACACUCACACACACGCUUUUUGCGGUCGAGUAGAAGGGGAGCGAUGGGAGGAAAAGAGGAGGAG
ensembl:ncRNA T06E8.4 ncRNA